AUUGAACGCUGGCGGCAUGCCUUACACAUGCAAGUCGAACGGUAACGGGCCUUCGGGUGCCGACGAGUGGCGAACGGGUGCGUAAUACAUCGGAACGUGCCCGAUCGUGGGGGAUAACGAGGCGAAAGCUUUGCUAAUACCGCAUACGAUCUACGGAUGAAAGCAGGGGACCGCAAGGCCUUGCGCGGACGGAGCGGCCGAUGGCAGAUUAGGUAGUUGGUGGGAUAAAAGCUUACCAAGCCGACGAUCUGUAGCUGGCCUGAGAGGAUGAUCAGCCACACUGGGACUGAGACACGGCCCAGACUCCUACGGGAGGCAGCAGUGGGGAAUUUUGGACAAUGGGCGCAAGCCUGACCCAGCCAUGCCGCGUGCAGGAUGAAGGCCUUCGGGUUGUAAACUGCUUUUGUACGGAACGAAAAGCCUUCUUUUAAUACAGGAGGGUCAUGACGGUACCGGAAGAAUAAGCACCGGCUAACUACGUG
rnacentral:rRNA from 1 species